rnacentral:rRNA from 1 species
GAUGAACGCUAGCGGCAGGCUUAAUACAUGCAAGUCGAGGGGCAACAGGGGUAGCAAUACCUGCUGGCGACCGGCAAACGGGUGCGGAACACGUACAGAACCUUCCUUUAAGCGGGGGAUAGCCCGAAGAAAUUCGGAUUAAUACCCCAUAGUAAUAUUUGGUGGCAUCAUUAGAUAUUUAAAGAUUUAUCACUUAGAGAUGGCUGUGCGGCUGAUUAGGUAGUUGGUGAGGUAGCGGCUCACCAAGCCUGCGAUCAGUAACUGGUGUGAGAGCACGACCAGUCACACGGGCACUGAGACACGGGCCCGACUCCUACGGGAGGCAGCAGUAAGGAAUAUUGGUCAAUGGACGCAAGUCUGAACCAGCCAUGCCGCGUGAAGGAUGAAGGUCCUCUGGAUUGUAAACUUCUUUUAUGUGGGACGAAAUGCAUUCUUUCUAGAGUGUUUGACGGUA